GCUGAUAAAAUAUUCCCGUACCGAUCUGUAAUGCGAUGGGGGGACGGAGAAGGUUAGCUCAGCCAACUGUUGGAAUAGUUGGUUUAAGCGUGUAGUCGUGCUGCAUAGGCAAAUCCGUGCGGCUUAGAUGAGGCGUGAUGACGAGGCACUUCGGUGCUGAAGUGAGUGAUACCCUGCUUCCAGGAAAAGCCUCUAAGCUUCAGUUACAGAUUGACCGUACCGCAAACCGACACAGGUGGGCAGGAUGAAAAUUCUAAGGCGCUUGAGAGAACUCAGGAGAAGGAACUCGGCAAAUUGAUACCGUAACUUCGGGAGAAGGUAUGCCUCGGUAGCGUGAAGCCCCUGCGGGUGGAGCGUGAUGAGGUCGCAGAGAAUCGGUGGCUGCAACUGUUUAAUAAAAACACAGCACUCUGCAAAGGCGAAAGCCGACGUAUAGGGUGUGACGCCUGCCCGGUGCCGGAAGGUUAAGUGAUGGGGUGCAAGCUCUUGAUCGAAGCCCCGGUAAACGGCGGCCGUAACGAUAACGGUUCUAAGGUAGCGAAAUUCCUUGUCGGGUAAGUUCCGACCUGCACGAAUGGCGUAAUGAUGGCCACACUGUCUCCUCCUGAGACUCAGCGAAGUUGAAAUGUUUGUGAAGAUGCAAUCUCCCCGCGGCUAGACGGAAAGACCCCAUGAACCUUUACUGUAGCUUUGCAUUGGACUUUGACGGGACUUGUGUAGGAUAGGUGGGAGGCUGUGAGGCGUGGUCGCCAGAUCGCGCGGAGCCGACGUUGAAAUACCACCCUGGUGUCGUUGAGGUUCUAACCUUGGUCCGUGAAUCCGGAUCGGGGACCGUGCAUGGCGGGCAGUUUGACUGGGGCGGUCUCCUCCCAAAGUGUAACGGAGGAGUACGAAGGCCUUCUAAGCACGGUCGGACAUCGUGCUCAUAGUGCAAUGGCAAAAGAAGGCUUGACUGCGAGUCCCACAAGACGAGCAGGUGCGAAAGCAGGUCAUAGUGAUCCGGUGGUUCUGUAUGGAAGGGCCAUCGCUCAACGGAUAAAAGGUACUCUGGGGAUAACAGGCUGAUUCCGCCCAAGAGUUCAUAUCGACGGCGGAGUUUGGCACCUCGAUGUCGGCUCAUCACAUCCUGGGGCUGUAGCCGGGCUCAAGGGUAUGGCUGUUCGCCAUUUAAAGUGGUACGUGAGCUGGGUUUAAAACGUCGUGAGACAGUUUGGUCCCUAUCUGCCGUGGGCGCUGGAAAUUUGAGGGGGCCUGCUCCUAGUACGAGAGGACCGGAGUGACGGAUCUCUGGUGUACCGGUUGUCACGCCAGUGGCAUCGCCGGGUAGCUAAAUCCGGAAGAGAUAAACGCUGAAAGCAUCUAAGCGUGAAACUCGCCUCAAGAUGAGAUUUCCCGGGAGUUCAACUCCCCUGAAGGGUCGUCCUAGACCAGGACGUUGAUAGGUCAGGUGUGGAAGCGCAGUAAUGCGUUAAGCUAACUGAUACUAAUUGCCCGUGCGGCUUGAC
rnacentral:rRNA from 1 species